GAGUUUGAUCCUGGCUCAGGAUGAACGCUGGCGGCGUGCUUAACACAUGCAAGUCGAGCGAAGCACUUAGGAAAGAUUCUUCGGAUGAUUUUCUAUUUGACUGAGCGGCGGACGGGUGAGUAACGCGUGGGUAACCUGCCUCAUACAGGGGGAUAACAGUUAGAAAUGACUGCUAAUACCGCAUAAGACCACAGCACCGCAUGGUGCAGGGGUAAAAACUCCGGUGGUAUGAGAUGGACCCGCGUCUGAUUAGUUAGUUGGUGGGGUAACGGCCUACCAAGGCGACGAUCAGUAGCCGACCUGAGAGGGUGACCGGCCACAUUGGGACUGAGACACGGCCCAAACUCCUACGGGAGGCAGCAGUGGGGAAUAUUGCACAAUGGGGGAAACCCUGAUGCAGCGACGCCGCGUGAGCGAAGAAGUAUUUCGGUAUGUAAAGCUCUAUCAGCAGGAAAGAAAAUGACGGUACCUGACUAAGAAGCCCCGGCUAACUACGUGCCAGCCGCCGCGGUAAUUC
rnacentral:rRNA from 1 species